rnacentral:rRNA from 1 species
CACGAAGUUAGCCGGGGCUUAUUCUGCGGGUACCGUCAUUAUCGUCCCCGCCAAAAGAGCUUUACAAUCCGAAGACCUUCGUCACUCACGCGGCAUGGCUGGAUCAGGCUUGCGCCCAUUGUCCAAUAUUCCUUA